rnacentral:ncRNA from 1 species
CGACCUCAGCUCAUGUGAGAUUACUCCCUGAAUUUAAGCAUAUUAAUGAGGGAAGGAAAAGAAAUUAACUAAGAUUCCUUUAGUAGCGGCGAGCGAAACAGGAUAAGCCCAGCACUAAGCUCUCCGGUCGUCCUGACUGGUAGAGGAUGCAGUGUAUGGAAAGUCUAUUAUCUUAUGCAACGAUAAUAUGUUCAAGUCCAUCUUGAAUGGGGCCAUUACACCCAUAGAGGGUGCCAGGCCCGUAGCAGCUAUUAUCAGUAUAAGAAGGCUUUUCCAAAGAGUCGUGUUGCUUGAUAGUGCAGCACUAAGUUGGUGGUAAACUCCAUCUAAGGCUAAAUAUGACCACAAGACCGAUAGCGAACAAGUACCGUGAGGGAAAGUUGAAAAGCACUCUGAAUAGAGAGUUAAAUAGUACGUGAAACCGCUUAGGGGUUAAGCCUGAUGAACCCGAAUAUUUGAAAUGAGAAAUUCAUUAUUUUUUAGUAGUUUCCAUUGGAAACGAACAAUGAUAUGCACUUUUCUCAGUGUAAAACAUUGCGAUCUAUUUGUAUAUCCGUAUGGAUGGUUUAUCAAAUGGCCCGUAUGGUUUGUUCAUUCCUAUCUGUGGCAUUUUACAUGUCAUAUGGUUGAUGCCAUAGCGGUGACCUGGUAAACAGCAGAUAGUUUUUAAAAAUCAUGCAACCACAUUUUAUGUGUAUCACGGUUCGCGUACAUUACGUGCGUGGAUGCAGUGAUAGCAUGUAUUUGAUUGGCAAUGCGAUAGAUUUGGGAUACCUUCAGGACCCGUCUUGAAACACGGACCAAGAAGUCUAACAUGUGUGCGAGUCAUUGGGUAUUUUGUUGAAACCUAAGGGCGCAAUUAAAAUAACUAUUUUAUGGGAUUACAAGUGAAUUAAAUUUCAUUUCUUCAUCCCGGGGCGUUCUAUACGAACAUGGUUUGAGCAAUUGAAUCCUCUGUUCAAGAGCGUACCUUGAGCAUACAUGCUGUGACCCGAAAGAUGGUGAACUAUACCUGAUCAGAUCGAAGCCAGGAGAAAUUCUGGUGGAGGAUCGAAACAGUUCUGACGUGCAAAUCGAUUGUCAGAAUUGGGUAUAGGGGCGAAAGACCAAUCGAACCAUCUAGUAGCUGGUUCCCUCCGAA